AGAGUUUGAUCAUGGCUCAGAUUGAACGCUGGCGGCAGGCUUAACACAUGCAAGUCGAGCGGAGAUGAGGUGCUUGCACCUUAUCUUAGCGGCGGACGGGUGAGUAAUGCUUAGGAAUCUGCCUAUUAGUGGGGGACAACAUUCCGAAAGGAAUGCUAAUACCGCAUACGUCCUACGGGAGAAAGCAGGGGAUCUUCGGACCUUGCGCUAAUAGAUGAGCCUAAGUCGGAUUAGCUAGUUGGUGGGGUAAAGGCCUACCAAGGCGACGAUCUGUAGCGGGUCUGAGAGGAUGAUCCGCCACACUGGGACUGAGACACGGCCCAGACUCCUACGGGAGGCAGCAGUGGGGAAUAUUGGACAAUGGGGGGAACCCUGAUCCAGCCAUGCCGCGUGUGUGAAGAAGGCCUUAUGGUUGUAAAGCACUUUAAGCGAGGAGGAGGCUACUGAGACUAAUACUCUUGGAUAGUGGACGUUACUCGCAGAAUAAGCACCGGCUAACUCUGUGCCAGCAGCCGCGGUAAUACAGAGGGUGCGAGCGUUAAUCGGAUUUACUGGGCGUAAAGCGUGCGUAGGCGGCUUUUUAAGUCGGAUGUGAAUCCCCGAGCUUAGCUUGGGAAUUGCAUUCGAUACUGGGAAGCUAGAGUAUGGGAGAGGAUGGUAGAAUUCCAGGUGUAGCGGUGAAAUGCGUAGAGAUCUGGAGGAAUACCGAUGGCGAAGGCAGCCAUCUGGCCUAAUACUGACGCUGAGGUACGAAAGCAUGGGGAGCAAACAGGAUUAGAUACCCUGGUAGUCCAUGCCGUAAACGAUGUCUACUAGCCGUUGGGGCCUUUGAGGCUUUAGUGGCGCAGCUAACGCGAUAAGUAGACCGCC
rnacentral:rRNA from 1 species